AAAAAAAACUCAUCGCUUCCCAUCUCUUUCUCUCGGACUCGCCCGACGCUAGGCGACAAGGCCGACGGCGUGGGGUCGUCGGGCGGCAGCGCGGCGGCCGCUGUCCUUCUCCUUCUCCAUGCCCACUUGCGCCGCCAGCGCGGGCCAGCAGCAUCCCCCACCGGUUGCGCCUCCCAAAUCCCUGCGCCAAUGACCGGCGAUCUGCUGUUGCACGGUGCUGCCGUCGGCAACCUAGGGUUAGGUCUCUCCGUCACCAGGCCAAGUCCUAUCGCACCGGCACGGUUCGGCACGGAGGACGACCUCUCCCGGUGCGGGAUACCUCCCUCCAAUCACAACAUCAGGAGUAGCCACCUCUGCUCGCGGGGUUGCAGAUCUGGUUUUGAUGUUCUUCUGCUGAAAAAAUGAGCGGCUGACCUGGUUGCCAUGGACGAAUUUGGGAGACGAGCACGAGCCAAAGGCAACAUGGUCUUAAAAGAUUGUAUAUGGAGUAUGGACUUGGUCUUCCCUCUUCAGUCUCCCCCGAUUUUCACAGCCCUCAACUGAGUAGUUAGUUAAUGAUUCAGGUUUACCAAUGCAUCCCAUUCCCAUCUAAGGUACAUAGCUUUUGCUAUGCACCUAAUUGUAUCUGCAAAAGCCAAAAAGACUUACAAUUAGAAACAGAGUGAGUACUUCUUUUAUAGAAAGGGUGGAACCUGAAGCUGAACCAGCCCCUGUGAUACCUCGUCAUCCAAAAUCAUACAUAGAGGUCAGUUAUCUAUCUAAAAUGUGAGUAAAAUGGCUGCAAGUGUAAUCCUUACGCUGCUGCAGACUACUGCAUAUAUGAUAUCUGAAGAUGUCUGUGAAGUGUUCAUUUCGUAUAUAGCUCCAUCUCUAUGUAAUUAAAUUAACUUCAGAAACUAGAACUGUUCUUAACUGCCCAUUGAUGCUUGCUACACGAUUUUAGUAGUCCUGUUUAGCAUGAUGUUGGUUCUCAAAGAUUAACUUACCUGAAACAUAUAUUAAUGAUGGCGCUGAUUGUUCACUAGGUGAACACAAGUGAACUCUGUUUUCGAACUGCCAGAGGGCAGCUUGGCCAUAGUCCACCUAUUCCAUUAUAUAGGAAACAAACUUGGGAUACAAGAAGGCUCUCAACCAUUACAGCAUAUUCAAGAUGCAUAAAGAAGAUGCUACUUAUCUUUAGGCUUAGAAACGACUGAAAACAACUUGACAGUAAACAGUAAAUAGCUAAUUAGUUCACUAGAUACAUAGAGCAGCACUAGGCUUAUCUCUCACUGAUAGAUUAAAUUAUUGCAGCGGUAGAGCCUACCGUCUGUAACCGGAAGGUCCUGGGUUCAAGCCCCAGCCUCUACACAUUUGUGUGGGUAAGGCUUGGUUCUUAAAAACAACCCUUCCCCAGACCCCGCACAGUGCGGGAAGCCUACGGCACUGGGUCGCCCUCUUUUUUUUUUUGUAGAUCUAACCAAUGCAGGAUUCAAUUGCCGAUGAAGACUUUGAAUCUGGUGAUGGCACUGAGGAUGAUGAAAUCAGUCCGUCUCCAUUGCCUUAAGAACAUAAAGCUAAAAGAUUCUAUGAUGGGUCCAGCUUAUUGAAAACAAUAUUCAGGCCUAAAAAUGAUGAAUCCAGCUUCCAUGGAAAGAACAAGUAUGGAAAAUCUGCUUCAACAAAAAACGCAAAAUAGGUACCGUUUGUCAGUGAUGUCUCAUUUUUGAGCAUUCAUAACAUCCUAUAUCUAUGUCUGCUCCGGCCUAUAUAUGUAUAUGCACCCCUCUCAAGGACAAGAUGCACAAUAUUUGUGGAUUCUUAGUUCACCUCCCGUUUCUACGGUGUCGUCUGCUCCAUAUGUGACAGCUAGCCUCGUCGACUUCUGGGCAUAGGAAGAAGGUGCUUAGUGGCUUGGACUGUACUGCCCAAGUUUAGAUGCCUCAAACAUAUAAGGGAGAAUUGUUUCUUUGGCCCUGGAAAAAUGUUGCCUUACUUAUUUGGCCUUUUUUUUCCCCCCAAUUUGUGUAUUUGGCCUCAAAACGAAAUCUGAUUGCUUAUUUGGCCUUCCGUCUGUUUUGAGCUUCUAACGGUGUUAAGUGAUAGGUAAAAUGUCCGUUUUACCCCUGGCUGGAAAAGAAUACAAAAAUAGAGUUUUAUUUGUUUAUUAUAUAUUUUGGGUGUAUAAAUAUAUUUCAAGCACAUAUAUUCACUAAAUAUCACAUAUAUAUUUGAAGCACAUAAGCACACGUACAUGCACCAAUGAAGCUGAAAUUUUUACCAUAGAUCAAUCACUACAUGAAUGACCAAUAAUAAAAAAUUCAUAAUAAUUCGAGCAGUACAACUGUAGAUAUGAAUUUAGCACUACAAAGCAUGGCUAAGUAUGUACAACUAAAACUUUAUAUUUACUGCAUAGAUUUACAUGUGGAAGCCAAUAAAAAAUGGACUUGAGCAUUUGUCUCAAGGUAGCAGCACGCUGCACCAAGGUAGCAGCAGCGCCUGCCGGACGGGGACAGGGUGUGCACGCUGCACCAAGGUAGCGGCAGCGCCUCCGGGACAGCAACGAGGACAAGCCGGCGGCACCGGAUUUGCCAUUGCGGCCGGCAGCGAGGGCGCCUCCUCGCCGGCGCAGGCAGCGGCGGCAGCCAUGUCCAUCGGGUCGCCAUUGCCUGUAGAUCGAGGGAGGGGAAGAUGGAGACGAGGAGGAGGUGGCUGCGGCGGAUCUGCUAGUGGGGGCGGCGGCACGGGCUCCAGCUCCCGAGGCUGAAGGGCACUAUUCCUCAAAAAAAAAAGGCUGAAGAGCACUAUGGUCUUUUCGUGUGGGAGUACGAGAUCUAACGGAAUGGGCUCACGGAUCUAACAGAAGGCCAAAUAAGCAAGCAGAUUUCAUUUUGAGGCCAAAUACACAAAUUGGGAAAAAAGAGGCCAAAUAAGUAAGGCAACGUUUUUCCAGGGCCAAAUAAACAAUUCUCCCAACAUAUAAAGCGUAUAAGUCAGAAAGGGAUGGAGCAUGGAGGCGGAAGGAAACUUAUUCAGUCUAGCAGAUUUUGAGGAUGCUUUUUACCAGUACUUUGCAAUCAGGCAUGGACUCUAUGGUACAAUUUUGCAAUUAGCCUGGUACCACAUUGGCCAGAUAGGUUGUUCUCAGAUAUUUAUCAAGAUGAUAGUUUAAACUCUUAGUUGGUAUUGUUGUAGUUGGACCCGAGGUUUUGAAGGCUUGGGCUACAUCUGAAGGAGUCUAGGUAAAAAGUUUUCAGCCAUAACAAGUAUUGGAGCCCUUUUAGCAAGUAGAUGCUUCAUAACACGUAUUGGCCUUUUAAUUCUGAAAUAUGCAGCGGCGCUCUUAUUUCAGCAGGCUUUUGUAUGCUGCAACUUGCUUGAUAUCUGUCCAACUGCUUGCCACAAUCUCUUGAUAUGCUGAAAUCGAGAUAUAUGUCCUGGUAUCUAUCUGCAAGACUAAUGGGCAUUCUCUGCAGGUUUGGUGUUGAUUAAUUUCUUAUAUGUGCACCAGAUUUGGAUGGUGAUAUUUAUUUAACAGAGAUAGCUGUCUGGUAAAGAGGCAAAUAUGUACCUUAUUAGAGGUCAUUGGAUCUCUUGCCUUUGCGCUACUGCUGCUCGAGUCUCUACUGCUAGAGACCCCCACUCUGAGCUAAUUGAUAACACUCUGAACUAAUUGCCAGCAAACCACAUGCCCCAUCGGUUCUCUGCAGGAGCUAUCCAGUCCUUGGUGAAGAUCCAAUCUUGGACAACGUAAUGCUUCCCAAACAAAAGCAGACUUCGGACAAGGGAACAGAUGCCCCAGCGACUGUUGAAAAGCCUUGCUUAUUUACGCUCUUCUUUUGUUGCCAUUUUGUAGCAGACUCUGUUUCUUUCUUUUGUUUCUACUAGGUAAAUGCCCGUGUGUUGCAACGGAAACACAUAAUACCAUUAUAACAUACGUAUAAGCGCAAGAAAUAUGUGAAUGUGAAACAUUAACUUUAAUUAUUUA